GCCCAAAUGGUCCAAUGGCUAUGAUAUGGCCCUGUCGAGGCUAUGAUCUGGGUUCGAUUCCCGGUUUGGGCG
rnacentral:tRNA from 1 species